rnacentral:rRNA from 1 species
CUCGUAGGCGCUUCGUCGCGUCCGGUGUGAAAGUCCAUCGCUUAACGGUGGAUCCGCGCCGGGUACGGGCGGGCUUGAGUGCGGUAGGGGAGACUGGAAUUCCCGGUGUAACGGUGGAAUGUGUAGAUAUCGGGAAGAACACCAAUGGCGAAGGCAGGUCUCUGGGCCGUUACUGACGCUGAGGAGCGAAAGCGUGGGGAGCGAACA